CUACGGGAGGCAGCAGUGAGGAAUAUUGGUCAAUGGGCGAAAGCCUGAACCAGCCAUGCCGCGUGAAGGAUGACAGCCCUAUGGGUUGUAAACUUCUUUUGUACGGGAAGAAACACCUCUACGUGUAGAGGCUUGACGGUACCGUACGAAUAAGCAUCGGCUAACUCCGUGCCAGCAGCCGCGGUAAUACGGAGGAUGCAAGCGUUAUCCGGAUUUAUUGGGUUUAAAGGGUACGUAGGCGGGAAAUUAAGUCAGUAGUGAAAUCCUACAGCUUAACUGUAGAACUGUUAUUGAUACUGGUUUCCUUGAAUAUAGUUGAGGUAGGCGGAAUAAGUAAUGUAGCGGUGAAAUGCUUAGAUAUUACUUAGAACACCGAUUGCGAAGGCAGCUUACUAAGCUAUGAUUGACGCUGAGGUACGAAAGCGUGGGGAGCGAACAGGAUUAGAUACCCCCGUAGUC
rnacentral:rRNA from 1 species